GAGCAUCAGAUAAAAUAAAGUUCUUAGGGCGCAAAAUAACGAGCAGAGGAGGUGGGCUAUGGGGAUCUGCUCACCAGAGGGCCCAUAGGCUGGUUAGCAUGUGUGGGAUAGGUGGCACUUGCGGCUGGGGCGACUUUGGCAAGGCUGGGCCGGUGAGUGGUCUAGCGGGGCAGGCUGAGCGCGAGUUCAGGUCAAUGCGUCAAUGCACGUGAGAGGGGGCUUGGUGCAGGUCGUUAUCCUCGUGUUCUUGCACACAGAAGAAGUAGGGGAGCUCCGUGUCGCCGAGAACAGGCACGACGUAAGGGGUUUGAUCCAAAGCAGUGAAGGUCGGGGACAGGGUGCUGGCUGCAGAUCAGGCGGCUAGAUCAAGGGCGGCGGCUCGGCCAGGGGCUCCUCAUGGCGGUGAUCCGCAGUUCCAUGGCAUCGAGCAAGCUCCAUGGCUCUUCUAUGUGAGAAGAGAGAGAGAGGGAAGUGAGAGCGGGAGGAUGAGGUUGCACGGGAACAGGGAUGGCUUCUCGAGGAGAUUGAGCAUCUCGGGGCCGAAGCUAGUUCAUGGGCAUGAGGGUGCUACCUCCUCGAGCGAGCCCUUGGAGUGGUUGCCAUCAUGCGCAAGGAGAAUGAGAAUGCGGGUGGACGCGUCCAGAGGCUAGGGAGAGCUGUGGGAGGAGG
rnacentral:lncRNA from 1 species